GUUCUCGCUUCAGCAGCACAUAUACUAAAAUUGGAACGAUACAGAGAAGAUUAACAUGGCCCCUGCUCAAGGAUGACAGGCAAACUCAUGAAGCGUUCCAUAUUUUU
rnacentral:snRNA from 1 species